rnacentral:rRNA from 1 species
UACGUAGGGUGCGAGCGUUAAUCGGAAUUACUGGGCGUAAAGCGUGCGUAGGCGGUUAUGUAAGUCAGAUGUGAAAGCCCCGGGCUUAACCUGGGAAUGGCAUUUGAGACUGCAUAGCUAGGGUGCGGAAGAGGGAAGCGGAAUUUCCGGUGUAGCGGUGAAAUGCGUAGAUAUCGGAAGGAACACCAGUGGCGAAAGCGGCUUCCUGGUCCAGCACCGACGUUCAGGCACGAAAGCGUGGGGAGCAAACAGG